CUGGGAUUAGCCCGGGUGAAUGUAGUCGACCAAUCAAAUCACAGAAUGGGGUGGUCGGCACUUUUAGGCGGGUUUGUCGUUAGUGCCAGUGUAACUUGGAGUUUUUAGUAAAAUAUGUUAUAACUAAACUGCUUUAAUUAAAGUUCAACAUGACGACAGACCAACAUCCAAUCUAUAGCGGCACAGAAAUAGAAGGAGGCGUUUGGACCCUUAAUGAGAAGCUAGCUGCUAGCUAACCGUCAUGGUUAGCAUGAUGACAGACAGAACGCCGGCCUUCUCCCACAGAAAGGAACUAAACGUGGUUAAAGCGACCACCUGCUCACAGACGGCUGAGCUG
rnacentral:lncRNA from 1 species